CCUGGAGACCACAAAAGGGCAAAGACAUGACAGGCAGGUCAAACCUAAACUUCCACUGAAAUAUUCUGAGAGAAGAACUGUUCUGAAUAACAUGCCCUGGUUGCUUCCCACCCGCUACAUGUAAGGUUUCCAAGACCCUGCUUACCUCACUACCUCUCCAGCCUCCUCUGCCAGUGCUGCUUCCACCAGGCAGAAGAAUGAGCACUUUUACAAACAGAAUCUAAAUCCCAACUUGGGCACUCAGCACCCAGAUCGGCUGAAAUCUGACAGAUGAUGAUAUUGACAUUUUCUGGCUCUCAUGACUCCAUUCAAAUAAAGCUUGGACUCUGACUGCUGCUCAAGACCCUGCAUGAAUAUGCAUGUACCCAUAGCUCAAGACUGCCCUAGUUCUGCUGGUCAGUGAGACGGCUUUGGAAAAGCUCCCCGGUGUCCUCCUUAUUAGCUGCAAGUAAUGAAUCCUUCCUUUUCCAAUCUUUGGCUUGGUUGUGUCUUUUAGCUCGACACCCACCAAAAGUUUCCAGGUAACAGCACAUAUUUGGACUAGAAGGAGAUAAAAUAGAGUAAUCGCAUCCUUUAGAUCUAGCUUACUCAGAAGACUCAGGAUCCAUCCGCUACGAAUGGGAGUUAAUCUAUGGCCAGGAAGGUGGCCUCUAGUGAGAGGAGAAAACCUGAAGAAUGGACUGUGCGGUAAAUCGCCAUCUGCUGCUCCAGUAAAUUCUCCUGCUUAUGGAGAAUUUAGACACACUCCGUUAGAACAUCUACUUGAUAAUCCUGAAAACCCCAUUUAAUACUGGCUCCAUAAGAUCAUCCAGGAACCCCCAAAACAGCAGCACAAGCACUGGGAGAGUUCUUUAUAUCCUAUAAAUGCUUGGAGGCACCAAGUUCCUCCUAGGCUCUUCAGAAACUCACUGUGAACAGAACUCAAGUUUCUGGAUAUAAGCCACUAAGACUCAGGGCUUCUAGGGAGUCAAAGCCAGUACAGCGCAGGGGUGCUUCUCUCUGACUUUGCCUUGAUUCUCCCCCUCCCCCUCCUGAGGUCCCAGGGCUUUGUUCACAGUCACUGCACACACCCAGACCUGACCUACCUUGAGCCACUCAAUCUUCUCAUUCAUCUCCCUCAGAAGUUUCUCUCUCUCUCUUGUAUCUCCUAUUAUUUUGAAUACAAAUUUCAUGAAGCCUAUUUUUUGGUUUUCCAACAUUUGCUGCAAUUCUUUAACUGUUUGCUCAGGAGGCUCAUUU